CUGAAAGUCGUCGUGCGCUUGCGCCCCCUGAGAUGUUCCAACGGUAGAGUUGAGAACUUAUUGCAGAAAAUCAGAGAAUUACCGGUUUCGACAUGAUGCUGGCUGCAUUCACCUUCCGAGUAAUACAGUCUUCGCAAUGAAUACAUGGUGGAGCAGGGAGACGAAGAGGAUGAAGGUGGUCGGCGGUGGUCGGAGGUGGUUGGAGCUGUUCGGAAAUGGUAGGAGGUGGUAGGAGGCAGCAGGGGGUGGUAGGAGGCGUUUGGCGGUGGUUGGAGCGGGUAGGAAGUGUUUGGUGGUGGUUGGGAAGCGAUCGGCGGCGGUCGAGAAAGACGAGGACGACAAAUGGCGAGGAGGAGGAGAAGGGCGGGGACAAGGUGGUCGAGGAGGACGAUGGUCGUCGGAGGUGGGAGGAGGUCGUUGACGGUGGUUGGCGGUGGACGCGGUGGUCGUCGGAGGCGGUUGGCCGCGGUUAAGCGUCUUCCCACGGGGAUGAUCGAGCUGAUCGACAUAUCUAAGUCGCAGUCGACAAGUAGUCUUACGUACUCACUUUGUAUCGACUCAAUCUCAAGCUUUCAUACCGACACUACUUUGGCUGCUACGAAUGUCGGUGCGAGCCCGUUAGGUAAAGUCGACUGAGCAAAACCCUCUUACGGUCCCAGGCCCACCUGGGCUCACUUCCCGCCGAAAACUGGUCACACAAAUUUACCCGGGGGUAUCCGUCUUUAUAAAAAGUGUAGAAUUGCUUUCACUUCCGAAAGGGAGAUACAGACGUAUAAAAGCACACACGUAGCCAGAGAGAAUCCAUGCCAUCAUUAAUCUUUUUGUAAACAUGUCACGAUUCAACAAGGAAAUAUUCAGGUGACAGGAGCCCGCUCAUGA
rnacentral:lncRNA from 1 species